CCGCCCCCCCACACACACACACAAGCUGGCGGCUGUCCCGGCGGAGAAGCCCAGGGCCUGGCAGACGCCCGGCUGCGGCCACGGCUGGCUCCGUCUAGACAGAUCCAGCCUCUCUGUCGCCCCACUCGUCCCGCCCCUCGGGGGCAGCUGGGCUGAGUGCUGAGCCCAGGGCCCCAGAGACCCUCCCGCACCUCUCCAGGCCGCAGGGUCGUGGAUGGGACGCCCGCUGACUGGCGCGCCCAGGAAGGGGCUGGCACCGGCUCUCACAGCCCCGGGAGGGGAGGGACAGCGGGGGGAAGGGGCCCUGCCCGCCCGUCCUCCCGUUUCCCGCCCACUCCCUCCCCUCUGCCAGGACCACCGCCGCAUCUCCCAAAGCCUCUUCCUGCAUCUCGGGCAGAACUGGCUCCUGGGGCAGGGCCGGGAGCCCGGGGAGGGGAAGAGGCCCGAGGCGCUGCGACUCACCGGGGGAAGGAGACGGCGCGCAGCGAGCCGCAGCCCAGCGCCGAGCAGUCGGCCCGGAACCCCGACCCCCAACCGGGCCCGCGCGUGCCCCCACCGCGGGGGCGUGCGGACCUGCCUGGAGCUGCUAACCCUCCCCCUAUGCAGCCCCAUUGCACCCCCACAUCUAAUCAGCAAGCUCCCAGAGCCACAUUUGCAGCUUCGCCUGUCUGUCCAGAACCUGCUCCCCACCUCAGGCCCAGCUGAGGUCCCUUGAAUUCAAAAGACAUCAAGCACUCAGCCCUUUAUCUCCCCAACAUACCGACACAGCAGCCCCAUUCUCCCUGCUGCCACUGUCCUCACAUUGACCAGUAGAAGGCCUGAUUCUGCAGGAGUUCAAGGAACCAACCCAGAGGAACCCAGGCACACGCAGGGAAGCCAAGGUGA